GAAGAUGUUGAUGAGAGUAAAGUGAUCUCCUGCGGGGUGUGAGAAUUUUCGCCAGCAAGUAAGAGCAAUCUCUUCUGUUCCAGGAGGGCUGCUUGCCAACACCAACCACUGCUGCCGUCGAGGCAAACCGCAAGGCUUUGUGACUUGACUGCUGCUUUCACCGGAGCAAAGUUAAAAAGAAGCUCUCAAGAUGUGUCCUGUGCUUUCAACAAGAAACUCUCUGACGUUCCUGGCAUUUUAAAAGCUUGGAAAUGAGAGCAGUCAGCACUUUGAUAAAUUGACAGACACGUUUUGCAAUAACUCUGUAAGUACACUCUAAGAUAAAUGUCUUUUUCUGAAGAAAUGUACUUUAGAGCACAAAAUGUAUAUCUAUGCUAUCAUCAAGAAAAG